rnacentral:lncRNA from 1 species
UAAGGCAAAAGCAUGGUAAUGUUAGUUGCAUGAUUUAUGAUUUCAUAUCUAUCUAUUGGACUAACAUGUUGUUUGCCUUCUUUGGACCUGUUGGUCGAGCUCUUCCCUUGGGUGGCCGUACCCACUGGGAACCAUGGAGUUGGUUCUCACCCCACGUUGUUUUGGGGUGUUACAGGUUCACACGUGAGCGGCGCGGCGGCGUGAGGUAAGGGCGUAGCUCCGUAGAUAGCGCCCUACCCAGAGACCAGAGAUAGUGGUACCCCAAGUCGGCAUAGCCUAGGGGUAGUGGAAAAUGAAAGAACAAGAUAUAUCAUACUUGUGAUAAAGUUGUAAUAA